rnacentral:rRNA from 1 species
UUGCACGCUGGCGGCAUGCUUUACACAUGCCAGUCGAACGGUAACAGGCCUUCGGGUGCUGACGAGUGGCGAACGGGUGAGUAAUGCAUCGGAACGUACCCAGAGGUGGGGGAUAACGCAGCGAAAGCUGUGCUAAUACCGCAUGUGAUCUGAGGAUGAAAGCGGGGGACCGAGCAGCAAUGUUUGGCCUCGCGCCUUUGGAGCGGCCGAUGUCGGAUUAGCUAGUUGGUGGGGUAAAGGCCUACCAAGGUGACGAUCCGUAGCUGGUCUGAGAGGACGACCAGCCACACUGGGACAGAGACACGGCCCAGACUCCUACGGGAGGCAGCAGUGGGGAAUUUUGGACAAUGGGCGCAAGCCUGAUCCAGCAAUGCCGCGUGCGGGAAGAAGGCCUUCGGGUUGUAAACCGCUUUUGGCAGGAACGAAACGGUGUCCGCUAAUACCGGGCGCUAAUGACGGUACCUGCAGAAUAAGCACCGGCUAACUACGUG